CCGAGUAAUGGGGGAUACCCAAUCGAAAGAUUGGCUAAUACCGCAUACGUCUGAGGGAGAAAGCGGGGGAUCGCAAGACCUCGCGUUAUUCGAGCGGCCGAUAACUGAUUAGCUAGUUGGUGGGGUAAAGGCCUACCAAGGCGACGAUCAGUAGCGGGUCUGAGAGGACGACCGCCACACUGGGACUGAGACACGGCCCAGACUCCUACGGGAGGCAGCAGUGGGGAAUUUUGGACAAUGGGGGCAACCCUGAUCCAGCCAUGCCGCGUGUAUGAAGAAGGCCUUCCGGGUUGUAAAGUACUUUUGUUAGGGAAGAAAAGGGAAGUGCUAACACCCACUUUUUGCUGACGUACUAAAGAAUAU
rnacentral:rRNA from 1 species